UACGAAGGGUGCAAGCGUUAAUCGGAAUUACUGGGCGUAAAGGGUGCGUAGGCGGUUCGUUAAGUCUGUCGUGAAAUCCCCGGGCUCAACCUGGGAAUGGCGAUGGAAACUGGGCAGCUAGAGUGUGUCAGAGGAUGGUGGAAUUCCCGGUGUAGCGGUGAAAUGCGUAGAGAUCGGGAGGAACAUCAGAGGCGAAGGCGGCCAUCUGGGACAACACUGACGCUGAAGCACGAAAGCGUGGGGAGCAAACAGG
rnacentral:rRNA from 1 species